ensembl:lncRNA
UCUGCCUUCUCCUGAGUGUCAAAACAAAAGGCUACCAAGGAGGAGUUGGGUUUGUUCAGAAAGUUCCCUCUUGCUGGAGGGGUGGGCAGGGGGCAGCCCAUUGAAAGGAAGAAGCAAGCCCUGGGCAAAGCAAGGGAGGCAAAAGAAGCAGUGGUGUUCAGAAUAAGUUCAGUCAUUAUAUGUUCACUGUUCUACUUUUAACGUUCUCCUUAAGUUCUGCAUUAUGAAUACUAACUGUAAGAAAACAGAAUGCAUCAGUUUCUUCCUGAGAUGAGAAGAACAUCUCCUCACUGGUGUGCCAUCAUUAACUGAUGCUCAAAUCCCAAGUUCAGAGAUGACCUGGGUGACGUUCACGCCAUGCAGUGUGGUGCUGUGCACAGAUCCCUUGGCUGUUCACAGGAUGGGAAGCAGCACAACCGUGCCAUGGUGCGACUGCACCUGAGCUAAUUAUGGGCCUGAAAAGAGGUGGGCUAAUUAAACUGAGCAUACGGCAUCAACAGCUCGACAGAUUCCAAGACCUGAGUUGGUGUUUUUGUGUGGUGUGGCCUUUAAAACAUUGGCACAGAUGGUCUUUCAGAGAUGCUACCCCCACUUGUAUGCUCUCCUGAAGGGCACCUCUGGGAUAUGCUGAAAGCUUCCAAAAACAGCCCCAAGGCUCAGUUCAAGUGCAUAGAGCCAACAUUUCCAUGGGAAUGGUGUCAUAGAGGCUGCAGGGAAACCAAGCAGCCAGCUCUGAAAGCUACGUGCUGCACUGGAGCACAAAGACUGGUGGUGCUCCAAAAGAGCAUUCAGCAAAGUUCCCUGGAGGAAAGCCUAACUGCUCCUCAUCAGAGGCUGCAGCUGGAGCACAAACAGGUUUAGCUCCUAUUUCCAUUCAUCUCGCUCAAAAAAACAAGCAACAAAAUGUCUCGAGGACGGGCGGUCUCAAAAUGGAUGCACCCAGAGUAAGUAGUUCCAUGAGAAAAAUGUUGGCCUUAGAGUUGCAAAGCACUUGGGCUGCAUGCAACCAUUUACAUGUCAGAAAAGCGAUGACAAGGCCUCCUCUCAGCUACCAGGCAGCCUAUGCACGGCACUGUUAGAUGGACGAGCCAGAAAUUCCAGUUGGUGAGCUCUCCAAAUUUCUGGUCUCCAGAGAACACGUUCCCUCACUCAUGCCAGACACCAUUGUGCUGUUCUUUUUUCUCUUCUGAUAGGAAGUCAGCCAAGGAGACACUGUUUUAUAUCUCCAGACAGAUAUAGAUUAGACUUAGGGUGGAGAUUGGCCCUAAUUAAUCAUAAGAGUUCAAAUUAGGUUUCUACCGGUGCUCCAAAUUCUGCCAGCUUUAAUGCUGUUACAUACAGAAACCUUAGGACAUCCAUUUAGACACCUCCAAUCCAGAACUACAGACACACCCCCAGAAAUGCUCUACCUGAGAUGUGGACAUGAGACCCUCCCUCACCCUCAGCUUGGAGGGGUUUGAGUCCAAGCUCCGCUUAUCGCCCAUCUCUGGUUUUCAUCAGCACAUCUGUUUACCUCUGAUUCUCCUAUGGAAUGCAGCAUCGCCGUGUUCCACGGUCUGUGAUAACCUCAUUUAAAUACCAAUCAGAGAAGUCAGUACACAAAGACAAUGCAGUGCUUUCUUCCCUCCACACGUGUGGGCGUACGAUCCGCGCCAGUAUUAGCAUCAGCUCCAGGAUAAUGGGAGAUUGUCUCAUUCCCACCGUCUCUACUUAAUCUCACUUGACUCAUCCAGGACCAGAAGAAUCAAACUUUGAUCACUGAGAUACAGAUGAAGGGGAAGAGGACUCUGGCGUAGCAUUCCCAGCCCUGGCACAGCUUUAAUGUUCCAUCUCCAGCAGAUCCCCGGCUCUCACUGGACUUCUGUUUUCCCCACAUGCAAAACGAGGGUGAUAACAUCUACCACACAGAGCUGUUGUAUGGUCUGGAAAGCACUCAAACGGAAGCCACAAAGGGGAGGCAGAGGUGUUAUUAUCUCACACCUAGCUAAACAUAUUUCCCAUUUAUAGAUUGCAUGAGCACUCUUUUGUGUCAUACGAUUACGAAACUGCUUGAUGUGCC